AGAGUUUGAUCCUGGCUCAGGAUGAACGCUAGCGGCAGGCCUAAUACAUGCAAGUCGAACGGGAUUCAGAUAGCAAUAUUUGAUGAGAGUGGCGCACGGGUGCGUAACGCGUAUGCAACCUACCUCUAACAGGGGGAUAGCACCGAGAAAUCGGUAUUAAUACCCCAUAGUAAUUAUUAAAGACCUCUUUGAUAAUUUAAAGUUCAGGCGGUUAGAGAUGGGCAUGCGUGCCAUUAGCUAGUUGGUGAGGUAACGGCUCACCAAGGCAACGAUGGCUAGGGGUUCUGAGAGGAUUAUCCCCCACACUGGUACUGAGACACGGACCAGACUCCUACGGGAGGCAGCAGUAAGGAAUAUUGGUCAAUGGACGCAAGUCUGAACCAGCCAUGCCGCGUGCAGGAAGACGGCCUUAUGGGUUGUAAACUGCUUUUGUCAGGGAAUAAACCUAUCUAUGUAUAGAUAGCUGAAGGUACCUGAAGAAUAAGCAUCGGCUAACUCCGUGCCAGCAGCCGCGGUAAUAC
rnacentral:rRNA from 1 species